GACGAAGGGGGCUAGCGUUGCUCGGAAUCACUGGGCGUAAAGCGCACGUAGGCGGAUCUUUAAGUCAGGGGUGAAAGCCCUGGCUUAACCUAGGAAUUGCAUUUGAAACUGCGCCGCUAGAGGCCGGAAGAGGGUAGUGGAAUUCCCAGUGUAGAGGUGAAAUUCGUAGAUAUUGGGAAGAACACCGGUGGCGAAGGCGGCUACCUGGUCCGGUUCUGACGCUGAGGUGCGAAAGCGUGGGGAGCAAACAGG
rnacentral:rRNA from 1 species